rnacentral:rRNA from 1 species
CCUACGGGAGGCAGCAGUGAGGAAUAUUGGUCAAUGGGCGGAAGCCUGAACCAGCCAAGUAGCGUGAAGGAUGACGGCCCUACGGGUUGUAAACUGCUUUUAUACAGGAGUAAAGUGCCUUACGUGUAGGGUUUUGCAUGUACUGUAUGAAUAAGGAUCGGCUAACUCCGUGCCAGCAGCCGCGGUAAUACGGAGGGUCCGAGCGUUAUCCGGAUUUAUUGGGUUUAAAGGGAGCGUAGGUUGGUUGUUAAGUCAGCGGUGAAAUUUCGAGGCUCAACCGCGGAAUUGCAGUUGAUACUGGCAGACUUGAGUACGGGUGCAGUAGGCGGAAUUCGUGGUGUAGCGGUGAAAUGCUUAGAUAUCACGAAGAACCCCGAUUGCGAAGGCAGCUUGCUAGACCGGAACUGACACUGAUGCUCGAAAGCGUGGGUAUCGAACAGGAUUAGAUACCCCUGUAGUC